AGUCCAGGGGGGGUCCGUCCCUUUACCGGGCCAUAGGAGGAAAAUUGCUACCAAAUGCUGCCAAUGUGACGUCACUGGGAUGGUCGAAAGCUGAUUGGUCGCUGAGAUUCAGGCGAUGCUGUCAAUUCUGGCGCACCGGCGCAGUGUUUUCCAGCCGUUGCGUGUAUUGUUAUACGGAGUUUGAAUAUUGUUUAUUUGAUAAUAAUAUCACUUUUUAUGUGUUUGAAGAUCGGAAAAGCAUAUACAUAAGUGGCAUUCACACACUUGUCGUCUCAGAGAUCAUGAAGAAUGACCAGCUUCAGCAGUUCAGCUCAGGUCCGGGGCUGGUCCUCUGGCGUGCAAGACGGCGAGGAGUGGCUACCUGCACAUAACACAAUGACUGGCACCGAGCUGAGGGCAUAAAAUCACAUCAUAUCGACUUCAGCAUCUGUCUCCCAGCUUUGGAGACGUCGCCCGACUCCCUGAGUGGCGAGCGCCAGUUUCCGAAAGGAAGUUGAGGAAGGCGACCCGAAAGCACCCGCUGGGCUGCCGACACUCCUGCGCUGCCAGCAGGGCGUGCUGCGCAGUAAAGCCUCGCUGCGUGGUCUGUACGACAUCCGACACCGGCACCCAGACGUGCAGUUUCUGAUGACAUCCCACCUCAGCCAGGGCUGCCCCGAGAAUCUGCUAGUGCUUACUGCCUGCUGCUGAGGCCGACCUGCCGACGACCUGCCGGACCUGUCGCCGCCCUGGUGAGCCUGAGCCGGCCUGGGACUUGCCGCCGUGUCUACGCUGCCGCCCUGGUGAAACUGCCGUCGCCCUGCCGAACCUGUCGCCGCCCUGGUGAGCCUGCGGCCGCCCUGGACCUGCUGCCACCCCGGCGGACCUGCCGCCGCGUCUACGCUUCCGCCCUGGUGAAACUGCCGUCGCCCUGCCGGAUCUGUCGCCGCCCUGGUAAACCUGCUGCCGACCUGUCGCACCUGCCACCGCCCUGGUGAAUCUGCUGCCGACCUGCCUGACCUGUCGCUGCCGUGGUGAACCUGUUACCGACUUGCCGGACCUUUCUCGCCGCCUUGACGAGCUUGGGGAGCCUGUGCUGAGGUGCCACCGCUCUGUUUCACGUGUUAUGUUGCCCGGUUCCUGGCUGUCGCGGAGUCAAUCGGCACAUUGUGUUUGGAGAGGCGACAUCUUGUACAACUUUCCGACAGUUCGGAGCAUUUUAUUGUACCUAAUCAAGUCGCAAGAGAUUAGGCUUGUGCCUUAUUUGUCCUCUACCAAUCUGUCCAAUAUGGUUUUUUAUAACUACGAUUUAUGGUAUGACAUAAACCGGUAUAUUGUGUA